rnacentral:tRNA from 1 species
GCCCGAGUGGCGGAAUGGUAGACGCAGGGGAUUCAAAAUCCCCCGCCGAAAGGCUUGUCGGUUCGAGUCCGACCUCGGGUA